GUUGAACGCUGGCGGCAUGCCUUACACAUGCAAGUCGAACGGCAGCAUGAUCUAGCUUGCUAGAUUGAUGGCGAGUGGCGAACGGGUGAGUAAUACAUCGGAACGUGCCCUGUAGUGGGGGAUAACUAGUCGAAAGAUUAGCUAAUACCGCAUACGACCUGAGGGUGAAAGUGGGGGACCGCAAGGCCUCAUGCUAUAGGAGCGGCCGAUGUCUGAUUAGCUAGUUGGUGAGGUAAAGGCCCACCAAGGCGACGAUCAGUAGCUGGUCUGGAAGGGCGAUCAGCCACACUGGGACCGAGACACGGCCCAAGCUCCUACGGGAGGGAGCAGUGGGGAAUUUUGGACAAUGGGGGCAACCCUGAUCCAGCAAUGCCGCGUGUGUGAAGAAGGCCUUCGGGUUGUAAAGCACUUUUGUCCGGAAAGAAAUCGCACUUACUAAUAUUAGGUGUGGAUGACGGUACCGGAAGAAUAAGGACCGGCUAACUACGUGCCAGCCGCCGCCGUAAGAC
rnacentral:rRNA from 1 species